AUGAUCUCAUUUGCAACUCAGAGCACUCUGGCUGCACCCUGGAAAAUGGGCAGAAAGGGCAAGAGUGGAGACAGGGUCCUGCCCAGGGAAAGGGUACAGUGACAUGGAGGGGGACUGAAUACAGCUCCCUAAAGGACACCAACAUCAAGGAGACUAAGCUGAGGCACUAGGGAGGAGAGGAAGACCAGGAGACAAGGCCUUACCUUCCUCUGAUAAUUGGCGAAACAUUUUGAAGCUCCCAGGGCAUCUGGA
rnacentral:lncRNA from 1 species